UGCCUCGGCGCCAAAGCCCACAGGAGUUUUUGCUCUUCAGAAUCCAGUCAGAUUGAAGGAAGACGCCAGACCCGGAUUUUUGUACAUCCAUUUGCACAGUACUGUACAACAAGUUUCCUUUGCUGAGUUCCUUGGUCAGGGGUUUAAAUACAUUUGCUGUCCAGUACUGCAGUUGGAAUUUUCCAUCAAUUUUUUAUGGGCAACCAAAAAGAAGAAUUUUUGAAGGACCUGACAAACAUUGCCAUGGCCAUAUGUGUCAUCAAAAAGGAAGGAGGAGAUUUUGGAGAUUAUGACGACAUUGGCAUCGUUGUUGAUGGAACAGUGAUUCUUGAACAGAUAAAAUCUGUUGCACAAGCCUGUGCACUGAUGUUGGGGGCAAUUUAUGUGCUUGAUUUGGCUUACCCAAAAGAGCUCAAAUACUAUUACGAGUUUGCCCAAAAAGUACUCAUGCAAAUGAACUCUGACAAGCUCUCCUCAAAGGUUCUCAUACUGAAAAACAGUGUGAUACUGUAAUUUGAAGCAUUGAAGUGUUGAUAAAUGCUCAACAACCAUAUGUAUAUCACAUACAAAUUGCGACUUAGUGUAGGAUAGGUUUUGUGUAGUGUAGGUUUAUUUUGCUGUAGGAACUUGUUUUAAAUGUUGACUUAAGACUUGUAUUUAGUUAAAACUUUUUACAAAUUGUGUGUG